UUCUGCGAACGUCGUUUCGAACUUGCUUGCUCUCUGAACGCCACUCGCCGACUUCUUACCCGCUGUUUGCCCGGUGGGGGUUAACUCACUCAGCGCUCGUGAGGGCCACCGUUUUUUGGAGAUUUUGAGAAGUCGGCGGAAAACUUUCAAAAAAAAAAAGAAAAGAAAAGAAAAAAGAGACUACAACCCGCGUUAGAAAUACAGCGGCGCGACUGAACUUCCAGCAGCAGUCCGAGGCGAGCAGCAGCGGCAGGAGGAGGAGUCAACAGGUCCCAGAGCUUAGGAGCCACAAUCGAUUCAAGGACGGCGAGAUUGACGUUUUUGGGAAGAAGGGCCUGCCCGAGCAAUCGAUGCAGGCAGUCCACCAACCGGAAGCCCAGUUGGCCGAACAGCACACCACUCAAUCAGUCUGAACAGCAACACCCAGGGUUUCUGGCAACCAACUGAGACAGAGGCUCUGCAACUGCGAACAGGGGGCCCAUUCAGGGAGAAGAGCUUUCUCCUGGCAUCAUGUGAUCUGCACUUUUCCUAGGAGCGCUCUGCAGUUGAAGAGUGGAAUGACGUCCCCGUGAAAGCAUCACAACCACUAGCACCCCCAUCACCACCAUUGCCGCUCCUGACUGUUGCCAUCAAAGUGCACCUCUUCUUGACUCAACUUGCCUCCUGUCUUUCUCUGCCUUCAUCUUCGAGAUAAGGAAUGGCCGCGUUACUUCCCAACGCCUCUUGCAAAUAAGACCGUUUCACAAUCCCAGAGAAAGGAAGGAUAAAACGCUCCACAUUCCUCCUUUAUACUUCGGCCCCAUUUUUCUUUUUUUUAAUCUUUUGUGUCCUUAGUAACUCAGCCCUUAACACACACACAGACACACUCACCCACAUACAUUUGCUAAACCCAAUAGGAUUUUGCGGCCAUUUUCAGGGCAACCUUGUCAACCUUAAGGAGAUAUUUUCUUUUUUCUUUUUUUCUUUUUUUUGCAAACUUUGCCUGUUGGAAUAUCUUCUUACCCAGCAUCCUUAUGGGGGAUUAAAUCCUUACAGGAAUCCAUACUGACUCCUGACUGUGGCGCUGUUGCCUCUCAGUGAGGGUUUUUUCUUUACCCCAGUGAGGUCUUUUCGUGACUUGUAGGUGGACUGAGCCAUCAUGGCUGGGAAGGGCAACCCGGUGCCGGGCCCCCACCUCAACGGCUUCCCCGUGCCCACCUACUCCUACUUUUUCCCCCACAUGUUGGGGAGCCUGUCGCCUCCAGCCCUGCCGGGACUGCCUCUCAGUGGAUACAGCACCCCCUCACCAGCCAGUAAGUAGAGUUUGAGCAACUUUUCAGUUUUCUCUGCGUUGGUUCGCGUUUUGCAUGUGGAAGUGUUUGAUGCUCUGGCUGUUGUGCAGGUUUUGAGUGACAGGAGGUAUGGAGAUUUACUUUCCUUUGUGCGUGUGUCCUGGUUUCUCUGCGCCGCUGUGGCUCACAGUUUCCGGUACAGCUCGCCUGCUGUGUGUAUUUGCGUACAUACUCGUAUGCUGGUUUAAACACUUUCAUCUCGUCCUGUUUAGAUCAUUCUUGUUUGAAAGGUGUGUGUGUAUGUGUGUGUGUAAGUGUGUGUUGGUAAACAGACACACACACACCCACAUGCCCAUGUCGCCUCCAGCUCUGUCCUUAAUUUACAAACCCACACACACGCAUUGCAACGUCAACAUAGAUCACAAGGAAAUGAGGCAGGACAACCAGAAAGGAGCAUUGUUCAUUUGGGGAACACACAUUUGGCAAGUGUUCCGAAAGUAAAUCUCGGAAAUACUGCCGCAGACAGCGUUCUUGUUAUAACUUCUUUAUUCAAUCCAUCAAAAGCUUCAGAGCGAACUGGCAGUGUUGCUUAUUAAAGUUGGACUUGGUGGAAAAAGUACUUGUUCAGAAGUAAAUAAAAGUGUUAGUGGUUUAUUAAUUCAGAAAAUGGAAUGGGAAAUAUGGUUAAUUGUGAACAGUGGUGG